rnacentral:rRNA from 1 species
AGCAGCCGCGGUAAUUCCAGCUCCAAUAGCGUAUAUUAAAGUUGUUGCAGUUAAAAAGCUCGUAGUUGAAUUUCGGGACUAAUAUGUCGGUCGUGCCUCGGUACGUACUGGCAUUGUUGGUUUCUCCCUUCUGACGAACCAUGAUGUCAUUUAUUUGGUGUUGUGGGGAAUCAGGACUGUUACUUUGAAAAAAUUAGAGUGUUUAAAGCAGGCUCACGCUUGAAUACAUUAGCAUGGAAUAAUGAAAUAGGACGUUUGAUUCUAUUUUGUUGGUUUCUAGGAUCGACGUAAUGAUUAAUAGGGAUAGUUGGGGGCAUUAGUAUUCAAUUGUCAGAGGUGAAAUUCUUGGAUUUAUUGAAGACUAACUACUGCGAAAGCAUUUGCCAAGGAUGUUUUCAUUAAUCAAGAACGAAAGUUAGGGGAUCGAAGACGAUCAGAUACCGUCGUAGUCUUAACCAUAAACUAUGCCGACUAGGGAUCGGAUGAUGUUAAUUUUUAAUGACUCAUUCGGCGCCUUAAC